rnacentral:rRNA from 1 species
AUUGAACGCUGGCGGCAGGCCUAACACAUGCAAGUCGAACGAGUGGCGGACGGGUGAGUAAUGUCUGGGAAACUGCCUGAUGGAGGGGGAUAACUACUGGAAACGGUAGCUAAUACCGCAUACCAUCGGAUGUGCCCAGAUGGGAUUAGCUAGUAGGUGGGGUAACGGCUCACCUAGGCGACGAUCCCUAGCUGGUCUGAGAGGAUGACCAGCCACACUGGAACUGAGACACGGUCCAGACUCCUACGGGAGGGAGCAGUGGGGAAUAUUGCACCAUGGGCGCAAGCCUGAUGAAGCCAUGCCGCGUGUAUGACGAAGGCCUUCGGGUUGUAAAGUACUUUCAGCGGAGAGGCGUUACCCGCAGAGGAAGCACCGGCUAACCCCGUGACAGCAGCCGCGGUAAUUC